AGGCAAUCCUGGACACACACUAUAGAUUCUGAUUGUAAGUCAGAUUACACCAUGUUUGUUGAGAUUUAUUUGUAGAUCUAUAUAUACUCUAUACCAUAACAACUGUUACUACCAUAAGUGGUAACUACAGUAUUAAAUCCAUGUAAUAAGUAUCAUCUUGCGUGCUUACACUUUGUGUAUCAUUUUUGCUUUUUUCAUAUUUGUUUUCUUUUUCAUUUAAAAGUGUUGGGUCAGCACUCUGAUUUACAUCAGUGGGCACACUGUAUAUAAUUAUAUUGUCAAGAGGUGCC